CAGUUUUGCAAUGUGCUCUGCAGGUAGAGUGUGGGUUUAGGAGACCCUUGGCUGCUUGGUUCCUCUGAAGAAUUGUGUUGUCCUGGCUCCAGAAAGAGGCAAAGGAAUGGGCUGGGUUCUUCUUCCUGUCCCUGCAUUAAAUUCUUCAUUGCAACCUAAUGUUCGGACAAACCAGUGUCUCUUCAACUGAGGUGUUCUCAGGUGUCCCUGGCAAGAAAUCAUCUGAACUUGUUCCCCAAGAAGACCUACCAAUCACUGUACCCUGUCACGUUUAUCUCAAAGGGCCUCAUUUCCUUGUGAGCUUUGAGGGGCUGCUCAUGGUAGCCCAAGUUGAUUCUGUGGCUGGAAAACCCAUAUAUGACUGAAGAGACAACCCAAAAACAUCAGUGGAGGGGAGAAUAGAGCCAGAGUGGGGUCUGCUGCCUUCUGAAACCUGGCUGCAAUGCUUACAGGGAGAGUGUGGCAAUGGCUGGCAGUUUGUUUGCUCCUGGAGAGAGCCCUGCAACCCAAGCUUUUGUUAUGUGAGUUUGGCCCAGAGGCAUUCAUAAAGAGAGAAAUGAGAGUUGCACUGUAAGGAAAAAAUAAAUUGCAUGUUGCUAGCUGAUAGAC